GCCGGCGUAGACCAACGGCAGAGUCCGACGAUUUAAGACCGUCGUCAGUGCGGGUUCGAAUCCCGCCGCCGGCA
rnacentral:tRNA from 1 species